AACGACCUCCUUCUCCUGAGCACACAACUAUGUUUUCCAUGCAUGACAUCGAGUUAGGCACCAUGCCGUGGCUGCCCGUGUCCGAACACACCGCACACCCCACACAGUUCACUGACGACACAGACUUGGGUGCCACAACGUGGCUGCCUGCGUUUGAGC
rnacentral:lncRNA from 1 species